rnacentral:snRNA from 1 species
CUUCUGGUACUGUUUGGAGA